rnacentral:rRNA from 1 species
UACAGAGGGUGCGAGCGUGUCGGAUCGACUGGGCGUAAAGGGCGCGUAGGUGGUGGCUUAAGCGUGCGGUGAAAGCUCGGGGCUCAACCCCGAGUCGGCCGUGCGAACUGGGCUCACUGGAGCAUAGUAGAGGCAGGUGGAAUUCCGGGUGUAGCGGUGAAAUGCGCAGAUAUCAGGAGGAACACCGGUGGCGAAGGCGGGUCUCUGGGCAGUAACUGACGCUGAGGAGCGAAAGCGUGGGGAGCGAACAGG